AUGUCUCGCACAACCAAGCUCUUGUUCACUCUCAUCAGCCUUAUCAUAUUUCCAUUCUUCACAAAUGGUGCACUACAACCCCAGCAUCAGCAUGCCCAUGGCGACAGCUGCAUCCCGGCCGAGAGGGCCGCCUUGCUCUCCUUCAAAGAGGGCAUUACAAGCAACAACACCAACCUCCUCGCCUCGUGGAAAGGACAGGACUGCUGCCGGUGGAGAGGCGUCAGCCGCAGCAACCGAACAGGCCACGUCAUCAAGCUUCAUCUUCGCAAUCCGAAUGUGGCACUCGACACUUAUGGUGUUGAGGAUAUAGCUACUGGUGUAACCCGCCCGAGAUGGGCCGGGUUACGUUGCGACAGCCCUUCGUUCAGAAGCCCAAGGACAGGUUAA
rnacentral:rRNA from 1 species